rnacentral:lncRNA from 1 species
UUUUUCAACCGUUUCUCAUGAUUAACUAUCUAAAACUCUUUUAAUCAUCACAAUAUUCUUCCUAUCAUAAAUCAUAACCUUUAGUUCAUAAUUCAAAUUCAAGGUAGAGUUAGGAGCUAAGUCUUGAGAGUUCUUUAAGGAGUUUUCUACAAAUUCUAAUAACUUGUUUCAAGACUGAAGUAAGUGAGCAUGAGAGUGAGGAGAAUGUAUCCAUGAGUCUACACUAUCAUC